UCUUCCUCACCCACUCAUCCCCUCAGACUCCCAGCUCCCAACGCGGCGGCGCCUCCAACUCCCCACGUCUUGCUCCACAUCCUUUCCGUUCCUUGCUGCCCGCGCCCUAGGCCCUCAUCCUCCGUCACCCUAGCCACGGACUGCAGCCAGCUCCCGGCCAUGGGGGCUUGCAGGUGCGAGAUCCGGCUGCUGUGGACCAAGAUUCGGCCGCAGCGGUGAUGGAUCGGAAGCCGGCGGCGCGGUCCCUCACGGGCUCGGCGGCGUGGAUCCAGGAGGCCCUGCUGCCCGCGAGCUCCCUAGGCGGCGAUCUCCACAACAUCUGCUUCCUCCUCCACGACGCAGGCUUCCCCUCCGAGGCAUCUGUUGACUCGCGUGGGGCUGCAGUGUGGCCAGAUCUGGCGUGGGAGGCGAAGCCCCGAGCCCAGCGUGGAGGCGGCGCGCGGGGGUCGCCCGGAGCAGCCAUGCGCGGCAGCCGGACCUCAGGAUGGACGGCCAGGGCGCUCGUGGAUCCAGGGCCGUGGUAUGCAUAAUGGAGUUCUCCAGGGGCGGGGUAUGCACGCCUCUCCCCCAAGUCGUGCCCUCUCCUCGGAUCUCUCCGUCCGCCCCCUUCCUAGAGCCUUGAAUCUGCGCUCUCGAACCGGUGGAUUUCCUCUGCGCUCUCGAACCGGUGGGUUUCCUCUCCUUUCUUCCUUUCGAUUUCUUCUCACCACCCGCAUUGCCCCGUCUUGAACCGUGAGCAGAUCCCCAUGGCGGCGCUAGAGUCGAAACUGGUGCAGCUACAGUCCAAGGCGUGCGAGACGACGAGGUUCUCCAAGCAGCUCUCCAAGGUCAGUGCGAACCGUGACCAUCCAGAAGAGCCAGGAGCUCUCCAAGCAGCUCUUCUACACCCGCCUCGCAAGGUCCUUGUUACCUGCCCUAUACGCCCAGUCCUAUCCACCUGUUUGUUACUGCUGUUCAAACUAUUGUUUGUUCCCUAAUUCCCUUUCUUGUUGUGUAACUUUAUUGAUAAUAAUGACAUAACCAUUUUACCAUCAGUGCAUAAUAUCUAGUGAAAUUAACUUUAAGGAAAUUGCUUUUCCGACGGUAUGACAUACAGGCCUCACCUAAAAUAAUAGGUGGCAUUACUUUCUUGCGGUCUUGAAAAUGAGUCGGUGUACCUUGAGAUAUAAACUUAUGGCACAAUUUUUUGAAUCAUAUUCACAUAUUUAUAAACCCUUGAUAAAUACAAUUGCUUUGUCUUAUAUUUUCAUUUCCUUGCAGAAGUUGGUCUGAGCAUUAUAAAGCUGUAUAGUUGUUACCCACUGAUUGUAUACCAAGAAGGCAUAAUUGUUAGAUAAUCACUUCUUUCCUUUUCACCUACGGGCUUUCAGUUAAUAUUUCCAUUUUUACUUAUCCAACAAUUGUUUGUAUAGGCUAAAGACACAAGCGGGUGUUACAGCAACAUGGAGUAGCACUAGCAUGGAAGCUAAUAUGCAUUUGUAUUAACCAGCUCAAGUGGAUUUUGAUUGAUUCGAUUGCUACAUGUAUGUUGCUGGAAAACUUAUGUUGUAUGCAUGUAUAUUUGUGCUGGAAUCGCUUAUUGUAAUUUUUGGGCUGGAACUUUUGUUUUGAAAAGUGAGUUGUGAAAACCGGUUGUAUGGGCUGUAUAUAAAGUUAAAUUUGUUUAGUUGCUAGUUAAUUGUGUGAGAAUUAGGCCCAACUUAGUGGCCCAUUCUGAAUUGCGCCCAUUCAUAAAUGGGAUGGGAUGCUGAUGUCAUCAUGUCGUUGCCAAGUCAGCGGUCAUGUCAUUGGCCACGUCAUUGUCAUGUCAUCAGCUAUGUCAAUAUACAUGUCAUCAUUGCUAUUCACGUCAUCGCCAAGUCAACAGCCACGUCAUCUGCCAUGUCAUCAAUGCGUGACAUGGCAAUUGAAUCUAUGACGAAAAUUAUAUUAUUUAUGAUGUUUAUUUUUGUCAUAGAAAAUGGAUUUGGGUUGGGCUUUGGGGGCCCAGGGAUAUUUUAUGACGGUUUCGAAAUGUCAUGGAUCAAGCAAUUUAUGACGAAAAUUUAAGGAACGUCACGAGGUGUGAUCUAUGACGCUCAAUAUAUGACGUUAUUUGAGAUCGUCAUAGAUACUGUUUUAUGACGGUAUUUUAGUAAUCUAUGACGAAAUUUAAUUGUCAUGGAUCAACAGAUUUUUUGUAGUGCUUUGACUUCUACUCUUCACAUGAUGAUGAUCAGAAUCCUCCAACAAUCAGCAGGAGUGGAUAAACCAAAUAUUGGCUAUGGUGCUCCAACUCUGAUAGAUGUGACCACUGGGAGAAAACACAAAGUAUCUUACACCAAGGUGACAACUCGUAAGAAAAAGAAAUCUCCAGGCCAAUCUUCAGCAGCAGCAGUACUUUAAAUAGAUGUUCCAGUCAAUCUUCCUUCUUCCUCUUCAGAAGAUACCCCUGAACACCAAUCCAAAGAAGAAGAAAAUCUUCAGAACACACCUCCUCCUCCAUCACCCAUCAUUCAGAUACAGCAUUCGCCUCCAACUCCCAGGAAAUCCAGGGAGGACUCUCCAUUGAUACAGCCAAACACUGCAAUCCCGAGCUCUUCAUCACAACCCCUCGUCCCUGGUGGCUCUAAUCUAGAAGAAACACGCCUGAAGCAGAGUCCCCGGACAACAGUCUAUUCUCCUUCUAAAUCGGAGCUACUUCUCAGGAAGAAGGAGAAGAAACAACAUUGGCCGAUUCAGCUAUAUUAUCAGAUGAAAUCAAGGCCAGACUCCAAGAAUCCCUCCAAUUUCUGAAUCAAGACAUCGGCCAACUAAUCAAGGAUGCACAACCGAUCUGCGCCAUCUUGGAAGAACUGGAGGGUAAACUCCCAGAAGCAAUCGAAGAUGCACUAACUCCUGCAGCCUUCAUCGAGAGCCAUCGCGCACAAUUCAACAAGGCUCAGAAACAACUGUAUGAACUUCUGCCAUUAAUAAUGAAGAUGAUGUGAAGCUAAAAACAUAUCUAAACCGGCUCUUGAGAUAACAAAAGUGUUACUCCAAAA